CCCCGGGAGCCCGAGCGCUGUGCACGCGCAGGAGCGGGCUUUGGGGGCGGGGGUGCAACACAGCCAAUGGGCAACACGGCGCCUUUCGGGGACAAAGGAUUCUGACGUGGUUCCCUCUGAGACUGAAGUUGAUCCCUGUCGAUGUCUCCAGUGUCACUCUGCAAACUGAAGCAUCAACUGCUGAGGCAAGCAACAGUGGUUUGUGUCAUGGAAUUGUCUUCUUCUCCUGGCCCUGGACCCUAUGGAUAUCAAGACCAGCGACAUAAUUUGUGUGACCCAGUGCAAAACGAAAAUGUGGGGCUAUUUGUUCAAAAACCAGGAAUAAAGUGCCAUUAAAGAGCGCAGGGGGUUGCAGGCCGGAUAACAGAAACCCAGCCCUGCCCACUGGGUGAAGCUGCAGCUCUCCCACACAGCGAUCUGCAAAUCGAGAGCGUGAGAAACCUGCAAGUGGAGAGAGGAGCCAGAAGUAAUGCCUUCGAAAAUGGAACGGAUGCCUUCUCCUGAAAGAAAACAUUUGUGGAAGUAUUCAGUUAUGAUCACAAACUACUUCUUGUGAAUUAUCUGUGAUGACUACAUUGAUUUCCCCUGAAGAUUUAUACAGCCAGGAUGUUUGAAAGCUUGGACAUCAUCUCCUCUGACAUAAACAAUUUUCUGUGAAACCUUUCCAUGUUAACUUGUAGUACCUGAUUCUCAAGCCUGAUAUACAAUUAAUGUAUUCUCUUCUCCCACAAAAUGUGUUUGUCGCUGUUUUGCUGUUAUCCUCAAAGUAUACACUUUCUUCUCCUAACCGUGGGCCCCAAAUCCCACACAAUGAGGGCGAACCACAGAGUAGCAGAGAGAAAAGAACAUUGCUUUUCUUACAUGAAGACUUUUCAUCCAAUUCCACCUCUCUGUUCUGUGGAUACUAUUUGGUGUUGGGGAAAUAGUAGCAUUCACAAUUUGGUCUUCUAGAUUUAAUUUAUACUACUUCAAUUGGUGCCUUAAAAAAAAGCACCUCAAAAAAGCAAAAUGGGGUGCCCUAAAUGCUGGGUUUUCUCCGCCUUUGGUCCAAGGGGUACCCAAGGCUCAGUGUAUAUUCAUCAUCACCAAAAUAUUGCCUUGUAGAUAUUUUUGAGAGCCAGAGAUGAGUUUAUAAUGUUUUACAGGCCUGGUUUGGAGCUCUACGUCCUUUUCCUUUUUGGUAGUCAACUUGUUAUAUCUGUGAUGAAAACAGUCACUGUGUGUGCCUAAGUACAUUCAGAACCAGAAACCAACAAAAAAAAUCAAGAUUCCAAUAACUCAGGAGAACCUACCAGAUUCGGACCAUCUGACAGUCUCAUCUCGACACCUACCAGUCUUCACUGAUCAGAAAGGUGAUCAGAGCCCUGAGCUCUUGAUUUUAUCACAAAGCGUUUUUUCUUUGUGGGUACCUUGGAUCUGGAGAUAGAGCAUCCGGCGAUCAGAUAAAGCCAUGUGGAGGGCUGAAAGUUUGCUGGAAUGAUGCUUGGGGCACAGUUUAUGCUGUUGGAGCAUUUCCUGUGUGCACUUUGAAACCUCUGAACUCAGUUCUUCAAAGUGAGAGCUACCUUAUUCUGUCUUUCCGCUGAACAAUGCAUCUGCCACUUAUCAUCUUGGUUUUUUUUUUGGCCACCUCCACCCUAAUUGACUUAGCUAACAUUGAUUUAUCAAAGCAAAAGCAUGGCCCUGACUGAGUCAUAAGUUACACUUUUACCUGACAUUAUCUGGACCUUUGGAAAUGAAACAUGCAAAUAAUGGACGUUUUGUGAACAGGUCUACACACACGCACAUAUAUGUGUCUUUCUGUUUGCUUCAUUCAUCAUGUUCUCUAUACUCCCACUGUUUUUCUCCAUACUCCCACUGUUCUUCUCCCCCCUCGCACCCCUUCUCACCCAUAGUAGUUUAGGAGAGAGUUAUGUUUUCUCAUGAGCCAAAAGGUCAUUUUUCAAGUUGAGCCCUGUUAACCUCAGUGACAAAUGCUUGUUUUUCAGAAGUUUCCUCUUUGCAAAACUCUGUUUUCAGGACAGAAGAUUUAUUUCGCUUUAGAGAGCCAGUGUGGUAAGAGGAAACUGAAGCUGGUCUCUGGGUGUGUGUUUGUGCUAAUUUGCUGUACAGUCAAAUGUGGAUAUAGGUCAAUAAAAGCUGUUCUUUGAUCUAUUGCUGCAAAAGAUUCAUUGUAAAUACAUUACUGGAUACGAGGGUUAUGGCUGUGUAACUGCCCCUUGCAAACAGUGCCGUGCCCUGUGCCAUCCUUUAGCACGUACAAGAAGUGAGACAUCUGGCUUCAACCUGCCUGGGUUUUUUU